UUAUUUACCACAAUACAUCUCACUUCUGGGGCUGGACGACUACUUUGCGACACUGGUUCUGUGUGGCCUGGGAAACGUGGAUAACUGAAGCUGCCCUGGCACGGCAGAGCUUGGACGUUUGACAGACAAGCACUGGCAAAGAGACCGUGGGCUUUGGGAGCACAUUUUGUAAACAGAGCCCUGUUUGUGAAAGUGCUUGUGGAAGGUCUUACAUUCGGCUUCCUGUGUACAAUGAGUGACUUAGGUUUCAGAACCCUGGACCAAUCCAAGGCACCAUACAUUCCCAAAGGCUCAGUAGGUCUCUCCUUUUCACUGGAUUCAUCAGUGGCUUGCUGAGUUUUGUUCUGGC
rnacentral:lncRNA from 1 species